GAUCAUGGCUCAAGAUGAACGCUAGCGACAGGCUUAACACAUGCAAGUCGAGGGGCAGCGGGGAGUAGCAAUACUCCGCCGGCGACCGGCGCACGGGUGCGUAACGCGUAUGCAACCUACCUUUAACAGGGGCAUAACACUGAGAAAUUGGUACUAAUUCCCCAUAACAUUCGAGAAGGCAUCUUCUUGGGUUAAAAACUCCGGUGGUUAAAGAUGGGCAUGCGUUGUAUUAGCUAGUUGGUGAGGUAACGG
rnacentral:rRNA from 1 species